AUAUUAAAAAUGGCGGCUUUCUGGAGGGAAUACAUUCUCUUUUUUCAUAGCCACUCUCUCGCUGUGAGGACCACUUUGAGCUUUGAUUUAUAUUUUGUUGUGUAGUAAUGGACCAGAGCUCUUAAUCUACCAAAGGAAAACUGUGUCUUACAACUACUCAGAAGAGAAGGAAAGGAUCAGUGGGCUAUUCUUCCCUCUACUGACAAUAAUCCUCAGACACUCAUCAAAACUGCACAAAGAGAGGGACCUCCUCCCCUUACCCCCUCUGUCCCUCUCCCUCCUACCCCCGGACUGCCCCACCCUUAACUCCGCCCAGUGACUCAGAAUUUCCUAAUACUGACGAAGGAACUGGUCCUCCUUCACUAUCAAAGGAAUCAUCACACGGGAAUAUUAAACUGAAUCCUAUUACGGGGCGGCCCCUGGUAUAAGGCUAUUAAUCCUCUUAAUGUUACUGGUGAUGAUCAGUCUCCUGAUGAUAAGGUAUCUCAACCUCCUUCUCUCUCUCCCUCUCUCUCUCCUGGUCCUAAUGUACCAGCUCCUCUCCUGUUCCUCCUGUUUCUAUUAAUGCAUGUAGUUUUAGCUUUCACGAGACGAGGGAUUUAUUGAUGUGCUUUCUAUUGGUCGUUGAAGAUUUGAAUAUCGAUGUUCUCAUCCAGUGGUGGUAGGAUUGUGUUGAUGCUCCUGUUCCUUUAUCAAGGACCUACUCUCUCUCCAAUAGGGUCACCAGUGGGAGGGGCUGGGGGCGGAGCUUACAAUGAUAGCAAUGAAAUAUCAGCUUUUUUUAAUGUCCUCAAAUCUUGUGCCCACGUUUUUGAGUAUAUUGGAAGAAUAGCAAUCAAUAAGAAAUGGUUGUGGACCUGAACUAUCAUCUCAAGGAUCUGCACUUUAUAUACUGAAGAUUGGAUAGACUGAAUUUAGGAACAAAGAACUCUGACAUUAACAUCACUGUACUCUUGUUUGUACAUGUACAUGUACAUACUGCACUGCAUGUACAACGUAAUGAACGUAUGCCUGUAGUGUGUGCAAUAUAUUCUAUGUUGUUGUCAUUGUUCAUGAAUUACUCUCAUUUCUGUUUAUAUAUUA
rnacentral:lncRNA from 1 species